AAGAGACAGCAGCAGCCGCGGUAAUACGAAGGGUGCAAGCGUUACUCGGAAUUACUGGGCGUAAAGCGUGCGUAGGUGGUGGUUUAAGUCCGUUGUGAAAGCCCUGGGCUCAACCUGGGAAUUGCAGUGGAUACUGGGUCACUAGAGUGUGGUAGAGGAUAGUGGAAUUUCGGGUGUAGCAGUGAAAUGCGUAGAGAUCGGAAGGAACAUCUGUGGCGAAGGCGACUAUCUGGGCCAACACUGACACUGAGGCACGAAAGCGUGGGGAGCAAACAGGAUUAGAUACCCGUGUAGUCCCUGUCUCUUAUAC
rnacentral:rRNA from 1 species